rnacentral:rRNA from 1 species
UACGUAGGGUGCGAGCGUUGUCCGGAAUUAUUGGGCGUAAAGAGCUUGUAGGUGGCUCGUUGCGUCGGGAGUGAAAACCCGCGGCUUAACCGCGGGCCUGCUUCCGAUACGGGCGAGCUAGAGUUCGGCAGGGGAGACUGGAAUUCCUGGUGUAGCGGUGGAAUGCGCAGAUAUCAGGAGGAACACCGGUGGCGAAGGCGGGUCUCUGGGCCGAUACUGACACUGAGAAGCGAAAGCGUGGGGAGCGAACAGGAUUAGAUACCCUGGUAGUCCACGCCGUAAACGUUGGGAACUAGGUGUGGGGUCCAUUCCACGGGCUCUGUACCGCAGCUAACGCAUUAAGUUCCCCGCCUGGGGAGUACGGCCGCAAGGCUAAA